rnacentral:rRNA from 1 species
GAUGAACGCUGGCGGCGUGCCUAAUACAUGCAAGUCGAGCGAACAGACGAGGAGCUUGCUCCUCUGACGUUAGCGGCGGACGGGUGAGUAACACGUGGAUAACCUACCUAUAAGACUGGGAUAACUUCGGGAAACCGGAGCUAAUACCGGAUAAUAUAUUGAACCGCAUGGUUCAAUAGUGAAAGACGGUUUUGCUGUCACUUAUAGAUGGAUCCGCGCCGCAUUAGCUAGUUGGUAAGGUAACGGCUUACCAAGGCGACGAUGCGUAGCCGACCUGAGAGGGUGAUCGGCCACACGGUAACUGAGACACGGUCCAGACACCUACGGGAAGCAGCAGUAGGGAAUCUUCCGCGAUGGGCGAAAGCCUGACGGAGCAACGCCGCGUAAAUGAUGAAGGUCUUCGGAUCGUAAAACUCUGUUAUUAGGGAAGAACAAAUGUGUAAGUAACUAUGCACGUCUUGACGGUACCUAAUCAGAAAGCCACGGCUAACUACGUG